rnacentral:lncRNA from 1 species
ACGCCUAAAAAAAUAUUUAUUAGAAAAGAUUAGGUAUUUUAGCACUUUCACAGAAUCAUGAUUAUAGUGAAUAACCUGCGGCUCAAAGUACGACACGGAUCUUGAUUCAAGACAUCUGUUGAAUAAUGAAGAAAGUUCUAACAAAAAUCAAUGAUUAUCAUGAAGUGCAUGAAAGCAAAAAAAAAAGAUCGGAUGAAAGAUGAGCAACAUGCAAUUAAUGUUCUGAUUCUUUCAAGAUGUUGCCUAUAGGCACAUUUAACCCAUGUCCCACAAUCAGUGUUUACAGGUAGGCCUAACUGGAAUCUGAGCCUGUGCAUUGAAUAACCCGAAAAGCAAACACAUGCAUUACUGUCAACAUGCAGUAGCACUGAGCACUACAAAGAAGUUGCUUAUUUGGAUACAAAGACCAAUCCUAAGCCAGCUUUUGUUUCAGUUGGAAAUUGCCCGCUCAAAUUAACGCUUUCACAAACAAUGCAUCAUUUGGGUCAUCAUUUCGCUGUGUGAUACGAUCAGGGAAGCAAGUCUGAAGUUCUUCUACUGAAAGCCUGUAUCUUUUGCCUGUUUUCUAGAAUCAGUCGAACCAUAUCGAAAAUUCAAAUUAUCUACAGAGAUGGGUCGUCUACAGAAUAAAGAAAUAUCGUAUAUGCCGAUCAUUGAAAAUGGGUUCGCAAAAACGUCUAACUCAUCGAUUAAAUUUGGGAAUGGCAAGAAGAAGCAUACCAAUCAUCUAUAGACGAUAGAGGUCUGGGAGGAAGAGAAGUUAAGCAUUCUAGAAGCAAUGACAUAAGCAGUGGACCCAUCCUUGGCAACAACAUGACUUCUUCAGCAUGUUCAUGGAAAUUUAAUGAUCUCUUUGUGUCACCAGAACUGAGUCACAGAAUCCCUUACACCUCCAGACGGACACGGAACACAAUCCUCACAAUCACCAAAUCGCUCGACCUUCUGUCAGAGGCCACGAUGUCGAUCUGUUCGUUUUAUAUCGUCUAUUUUCAAUAUCCCACUUGCCUAAGUAAGACUCUCAUAUUUAUGCAAAGAUCUUAUUAGAUAUUCAGGAUGGAGACAACAGUCCACGGCCCAUAUUUACAUUAACUAUAAAUCAAACAUGCAGUGAGUUAAGAUAAUUAACCUUCUAUAUCUAUUUGUGUUAAUUCUUUAUUGCUGAAAUCUAGUAUAAUCAAACACUCUAGUGUCCUAAUAAUUUUGGUUAAGGUUUAUUCCAUACAAUAAUAAUAAUUUAAGAUAAAUCUGAUAUUCCAAACAAUAUCAGAUUUAUUUUAAAUCUGUAUUAUAAAAUGUUGGUUUUCACAAAUUCAAAUCUAAAUAGUGUUUUCUUAAUCAGACACCAAGUUUAUUGUGGGAUGCUCUGGGUAUAUGACUAAGUUUGAAAAGGUUUCCUUUUGCGUAAUAAACAAAUGCAAAUGUUUGUGUUAUGACAUUACAGAGCAAAACAUUAGUUCUUUUUUAUUUAUUUGGACAGCAACAGUUUGUACAUACCAAAUUCUGUAAUUUGUAUUAUCUACAUUUUAUCACCCUUUUCACAAAGGAAUUCAUCUGACUAUUAAUUUGUAUUAUGUAUUUUUUCAUAAUUCUG